rnacentral:rRNA from 1 species
GUGCAGCAGGCGAGAAAACUUCACACUGUGCGAAAGCACGAUGAGGGAAUCCCAAGUGCUUGCACGUAAGUGUAAGCUGUUUCUCUGUCUAAAACGCAGAGAGAGUAAGGGCUGGGUAAGACGGGUGCCAGCCGCCGCGGUAAUACCUGCAGCUCAAGUGGUGACCGUUAUUAUUGGGCCUAAAACGUCCGUAGCCGGUUUAAUAAAUGCCUGGGUAAAUUGUGUAGCUUAACUAUACGAAUUCCGGGUAGACUGUUAAACUUGAGACCGGGAGAAGUUAGAGGUACUCCUGGGGUAGAGGUGAAAUUCUGUAAUCCUAGGGGGACCACCAGUGGCGAAGGCGUCUAACUAGAACGGGUCUGACGGUGAGGGGACGAAGCCCUGGGGCG